UACGUAGGGUGCGAGCGUUAAUCGGAAUUACUGGGCGUAAAGCGCACGUAGGCGGCUAUUCAAGUCAGAGGUGAAAGCCCGGGGCUCAACCCCGGAACUGCCUUUGAAACUAGGUAGCUAGAAUCUUGGAGAGGCGAGUGGAAUUCCGAGUGUAGAGGUGAAAUUCGUAGAUAUUCGGAAGAACACCAGUGGCGAAGGCGACUCGCUGGACAAGUAUUGACGCUGAGGUGCGAAAGCGUGGGGAGCAAACAGG
rnacentral:rRNA from 1 species